rnacentral:rRNA from 1 species
AACGAACGCUGGCGGCAUGCCUAACACAUGCAAGUCGAACGAGACCUUCGGGUCUAGUGGCGCACGGGUGCGUAACGCGUGGGAACCUGCCCUUAGGUUCGGAAUAACUCCCCGAAAGGGGUGCUAAUACCGGAUAAUGUCUUCGGACCAAAGAUUUAUCGCCUUUGGAUGGGCCCGCGUUGGAUUAGCUAGUUGGUAGGGUAAAAGCCUACCAAGGCGACGAUCCAUAGCUGGUCUGAGAGGAUGAUCAGCCACGCUGGGACUGCGACACGGCCCAGACUCCUACGGGAGGCAGCAGUGGGGUAUAUUGGACGCUGGGCGAAAGCCUGAUCCAGCAAUGCCGCGUGUGUGAUGAAGGCCUUAGGGUUGUGAAUCUCUUUGACCCGGGAUGAUAAUGACAGUACCGGGAGAAUAAGCUCCGGCUAACUCCGUG